AUCCCAUGAUGACGGCACCUACGAAGUAAUUCUUUGAAUCUAUCCCAUGCCUCAUACAAAGAUUCAUCAUCCAAUUGUUAAAAAUUAGCUAUCUCAUUUCGCAACUU
rfam:Gossypium raimondii chromosome 13, whole genome shotgun sequence.